GUGGAUUCUAUUCGAUUAGAUAGAUUGAAAUUGUACAUUAAGCAUCACAGCAUAGUUGAAAGAUACAUGUUGUGUAGAAAUCCGAAGAGGGUGGCCAACAGAGAUAGGUGGGAUGGGCUGAGGGAAGCUGAGGGUUGGGAUGUGGAAUUGGAGACAAGUGGGAGUGGAGUUGCUGGGCAGGAGAUGGAAUGAUGCAUGAAAAAUAAAGUCAAAAUAAAACAUAAUAAAAAGUCAAUUUGAAUGACACUGAGGGGCAGUGUUUUUACAGCUAAUGCUCACCAUAUACUACCAAAAUGUCUUCCAUACUUUGAACAGAAUUGUGUGUGUGUGUGUGUAUACAUCCGUUUAUGUGUAUGUGUCCGUGUGUGUGCAUUUGUAUACAUCCGUGUGUGUGUGCACGCGUUUCCUCCCAGGCCACAGCAGCAUGGGAGCGCACUGCCCGUCUCAUCCAGCAGAGGGAGUCUCUGCUGGCUCGUCUGGAGAUGUUUGACAAGGACGCUUCUGACCCCAACCGCUUCUUCCUGCAAGGCUACCAGGGCACCUCUCUAGCCAGGUUGGAUGAGUCCAAGCACCGGAGCAUACUCAACUCCCAGAUCUGUUCUCUGGAGAUGGUGUUGUCUAAGAUUCUCCACCACAUUACAGACAGCUUCCACGACACUGUCACCUACAAGGGGAGGCCGUACAGGGAGAAGAUGCGAAAUACUGUCACCACUGAUAAAUCCACUAUAAUUGAGAAUUUCAAUAAGCAUUUUUCUACGGCUGGCCAUGCUUUCCACCUGGCUACCCCUACCCCGGUCAACAGCACUGCACCCCCCACAGCAACUCGCCCAAGCCUUCCCCAUUUCUCCUUCUCCCAAAUCCAGUCAGCUGAUGUUCUGAAAGAGCUGCAAAAUCUGGACCCCUUCAAAUCAGCCGGGCUAGACAAUCUGGACCCUUUCUUUCUAAAAUUAUCUGCCGAAAUUGUUGCCACCCCUAUUACUAGCCUGUUCAACCUCUCUUUUGUGUCGUCUGAGAUUCCCAAAGAUUGGAAAGCAGCUGCGGUCAUCCCCCUCUUCAAAGUGGGGGACACUCUUGACCCAAACUGCUACAGACCUAUAUCUAUCCUACCAUGCCUUUCUAAGGUCUUCGAAAGCCAAGUCAACAAACAGAUUACCGACCAUUUCGAAUCUCACCAUACCCUCUCUGCUAUGCAAUCUGGUUUCAGAGCUGGUCAUGGGUGCACCUGAGCCACGCUCAAGGUCCUAAACGAUAUCUUAACUGCCAUCGAUAAGAAACAUUACUGUGCAGCCGUAUUCAUUGAUCUGGCCAAGGCUUUCGACUCUGUCAAUCACCACAUCCUCAUCGGCAGACUCGACAGCCUUGGUAUCUCAAAUGAUUGCCUCGCCUGGUUCACCAACUACUUCUCUGAUAGAGUUCAGUGUGUCAAAUCGGAGGGUCUGUUAUCCGGACCUCUGGCAGUCUCUAUGGGGGUGCCACAGGGUUCAAUUCUUGGACCAACUCUCUUCUCUGUAUACAUCAAUGAUGUUGCUCUUGCUGCUGGUGAGUCUCUGAUCCACCUCUACGCAGACAACACCAUUCUGUAUACUUCUGGCCCUUCUUUGGACACUGUGUUAACAACCCUCCAGGCAAGCUUCAAUGCCAUACAACUCUCCUUCCGUGGCCUCCAAUUGCUCUUAAAUACAAGUAAAACUAAAUGCAUGCUCUUCAACCGAUCGCUGCCCGCACCUGCCCGCCUGUCCAACAUCACUACUCUGGACGGCUCUGACUUAGAAUACGUGUGACAACUACAAAUACCUAGGUGUCUGGUUAGACUGUAAACUCUCCUUACAGACUCACAUUAAGCCUCUCCAAUCCAAAGUUAAAUCUAGAAUUGGCUUCCUAUUUCACUCAUGCUGCCAAACAUACCCUUGUAAAACUGACCAUCCUACCAAUCCUCGACUUCGGCGAUGUCAUUUACAAAAUAGCCUCCAAUACCCUACUCAACAAAUUGGAUGCAGUCUAUCACAGUGCCAUCUGGUUUGUCACCAAAGCCCCAUAUACUACCCACCAUUGCGACCUGUACGCUCUCGUUGGCUGGCCCUCGCUUCAUACUCGUCGCCAAACCCACUGGCUCCAUGUCAUCUACAAGACCCUACUAGGUAAAGUCCCCCCUUAUCUCAGCUCGCUGGUCACCAUAGCAUCACCCACCUGUAGCACGCGCUCCAGCAGGUAUAUCUCUCUGGUCACCCCCAAAACCAAUUAUUUCUUUGGCCGCCUCUCCUUCUAGUUCUCUGCUGUCAAUGACUGGAACGAACUACAAAUAUCUCUGAAACUGGAAACACUUAUCUCCCUCACUAGCUUUAAGCUCCAGCUGCCAGAGCAGCUCACAAUAUUACUGCACCUGUACAUAGCCCACCUAUAAUUUAGCCCAAACAACUACCUCUUUCCCUACUGUAUUUAUUUAUUUUAUUUAUUUAUUUAUUUUGCUCCUUUGCACCCCAUUAUUUUUAUUUCUACUUUGCACAUUUCUUCCACUGCAAGUCUACCAUUCCAGUGUUUUACUUGCUAUAUUGUAUUUACUUUGCCACCAUGGCCUUUUUUUUGCCUUUACCUCCCUUAUCUCACCUCAUUUGCUCACAUCGUAUAUAGACUUGUCUAUACUGUAUUAUUGACUGUAUGUUUGUUUUACUCCAUGUGUAACUGUGUCGUUGUGUGUCGAACUGCUUUGCUUUAUCUUGGCCAGGUCGCAAUUAUAAAUGAGAACUUGUUUUCAACUUGCCUACCUGGUUAAAUAAAGGUGAAAUAAAUAAAUAAAAUGUAAAAAAAAAAAAACCUUCAGCUGGGCACCCACCCCACCCCCCAAGGACACACCCCGACCCUCAGCCAAAGACCCCACCCUCACACACACAGCCACUCCAACCCAACCCAGCUGAGCUCAGUGUAUCCGGUAUAAGUUUGAACUUUGUAUGCAAAUGAAUAAAAUGCUUGGAUAAUUGUUUGUAUACACUGCUGGGAAUGAAAUAUUAUAUUUGAUCAUUUGUAUGUAUUCAUAUUAUGUAUAAUCCAUUAUCAUUAUGAACGUGAUUGGAUAGUAUUUAUGCACUACUAGUAGGUUCAUCUGACAUUGACAACAUUUGAUAUGGAGAAUAUUUUGUCAUUAAUCAUUUACAUUAUUUUGUUCUGAGUGUGGCAGAAACAUGCAACUCUAAGUGCCAUGACAAAAGGAACGCUGUUUGCACUAUGAGUCUAUUUAGGGCCACUGGUAAGUGCGUUAUCAGUUUUACCAAGUGCAAUACCAAAUAUACCGAGCUAGCACUGCAGGCCUACAAGUUUACAAUGAACAACAAGCUGUCACGUAUCACCAGGCAGCCUGCUCCCAUCUGCCUAGUUACAGUCAAGCAUGCAUUCUCUCACCCUCUCACGUGUGCGCGAAACGCCACCGCAUUGGUCAUUUCAGACCGGGGAGUGUUUUUGUUAUAAUUCAGGAAGAACACUACUCAUUUCAAAAAUAGUUGGGGAUUUUUGUCAGAAUUACAUUAUUUUCAAAGGAAAUUAUUAUAAUCCUGAGCACUAUCGAGUGUGGAUAGCGAGCUCCUGUGUUGAGCAAAUAGAUACACGUGAGUAGUUGUAUUUAAUUUCCUUACAACUUGGGUAAGUCUUAUUACGAGUGAAGUAUGUGCCACCUUCAGUUAAAAAGUGUUGUUCCUAUCUUUUGUUUUUAUAAACAUUAUAAAAUGUUUGUCUGCUUGUGGAAAUAAUAAACGUAUAAAUAGCGUUUGUUAUGCAUACUAUAUAGCCUACUACAGACAGCUGCUGUGUAGUUUUGGGAAUGUCGGCUAGCUACACUGCUGUGUCGAAAAGCUGUCAAAUUAGACAGUAACGUUGAUAGUUAACUAUCAAGUGCACAGUUAGCUAGCUAUACGCCAGUCGGCUACAUAUACUGACUGACAAAAGCCUACAAUCAAUGUUCACCCUAAAGAGGACAUUUGGUAACUUCCCGAAGUUGAAUCAUCGCAAUAUCUGGCAAGUCAGUGCACGCAGACUGAAUGGAAAGAUGGAUAACGGAAGUAGUCUCAAUUGUUGUUUUUCUGCUACAAAUAAGUUGGUCAAGUCAGUCAAACUUUUAUUCCAUUCUCAACCACAUUCAUGGAGAAGAAAGUCAGCUGUCCUUACGAAAUAUAUUGCGGUCAAAGUGCUGUAUAACUGCAGUAUGCUGCAAAUACUGCCUCAAAUACCACAGUCGACUGCAGUUACUGCACUUUUACUGCAAUUUCAAAACUGCAUUUUUUUUUUUUGUAAGGGCAGCAUUUUCAAGUAUUUUAUGGCACUGUAGUAUUACAAGGAUCUUCAUCAUACUGUAUAUUUACCUAUCAGAGCUCUUAUCAGUGUCCAGUUUUAUUUUAGGUGAGGCACAGGAGUCACACUAAGAGACAGCAGUGCUAGUAGUGGUUCUGUCCUAGCUCUGAUCCAGGGUGUUACGUGCAGCUUGAGCCUCCUUCAAAGUAUUAUUGUUCAAGAAGGCUCAAGCCACACAGCACACUGGACCAGAGCUUGUGCUGCCCAUACUACAUCAAUCCAU
rnacentral:lncRNA from 13 species